rnacentral:rRNA from 1 species
UACGUAGGAGGCGAGCGUUGUCCGGAGUUACUGGGCGUAAAGCGCGCGUAGGUGGUUUGUUAAGUUGGAUGUGAAAUCCCCGGGCUCAACCUGGGAACUGCAUCCAAAACUGGCAAGCUGGAGUAUGGUAGAGGGUGGUGGAAUUUCCUGUGUAGCGGUGAAAUGCGUAGAUAUAGGAAGGAACACCAGUGGCGAAGGCGACCACCUGGACUGAUACUGACACUGAAGUGCGAAAGCGUGGGGAGCAAACAGG